UUUUUAUUUUUUUAUUUAUUUUUUUAAAUUCUUUAUUUUUCUUUGUGCAUGGAGUAACAAAUCAUUUGUAAAUGCCGCAUCAGCAUAUUUAAAAAAUGUGAACACAGUAGCUGUACAUUUAUGGCAUAAGAUUAUCAGCACAAUUUUUAAUUGUUAAGUUAUGAACAAGCUAAACGUAAUGCAAGAUUAACCCGCGUUUGUUAGUAGCAGUAGUAUUUGCAUAUUCGUAGAGUAUUAACCAGCUUAGUUAAAUGAUUAUACUGUCAGAAUAGAUAUAUGUAAGACAGUUGAGAAUAAGUAAUGCUUGACAAUUAUAGGUUAACUACGUUAGUACCAGUGGGAUGUGGUAACUUGCUUUCAUGUUUCAGGGUUAGAAUACGUAGAGGCUCUGACACAUAAAGAUUUAUAACGCAUGAGAACAUUUAUGUUAAAGUAGACCGCUGAUCACUAGCUAUGCAUAUUGGGUAAAUCUGUAAACAGGUAGAUCUAAGCUAAUGAAUAUCAUGAGUUAUAGUUACAAAUAACACCAAGAUAGUCAUGUUUAUAUAUCGUAUGGUCCUGUUAGGGAGUAGUGUUCAGAGUAGUGAGAGAGAUGGGAAAACAUGACUGGUAUAAUGUUUGCUUUAGCACGACUGUAUGAUAGGUACAUGUUAAGUAAGUCAGUGCCCUCGUUGGUGUUGUUUAAAGAUUCCCUGUUACCCGGGGGAGGAGGGGAAGAUUUCGAGUGGCUUUACCUAAGUGGCUAUAACGUGCCCUUGGUUGCCAGCACUAGUGUGAGUUCUGUCAUAAAAUGUCGGCAUUAAAAUUUUAAACUUUUAAACAUAUAUACAUCAUAACUGGUUCGUGAGUCCAGGGGGUGCAGCGGGUGAUGCUGUUUAAAGUACACUGGUCUGGAUACUAGGUAGCUUCAAGACUGCGUCAGGCGUUGGUUACCGCGGUGAUCGCUGUUUCGGCUCUUCUAGGGACGAAUGGGGUCGCUGUUGCGGGAUUCCAAGCGGUGCUGUGUGCCAGCGUGGUUCUAUUCUCCGGUGGAGGAUGAGCGAGUGGGGAAAGUCCCAGGGUCGGUAGCAGUUCAUUUGCCUCCUGUAAGUCCUGGAUGGUAGAGGUCGCAUUCCCGUGGUGGAUUAACAGUGUGCGCGAACCUCUCCAGUGGUAGGUGAUUUUAUGUUGGCGUAGGAGGGCUGUAAAGGGUUGAAGUGUGCGUCUCCA